rnacentral:tmRNA from 2 species
GGGGGCGACACGGCUUCGACGGGGAUGGGCGAACACGAGAUGCAUGCCGAGCACCAUCGACUCGUUAAUCCGAUGGAAAACACCAUAACUGCGGAUUCGCAGCUCGCUCUCGCCGCCUAAAUAGGCGACGACGUUCCCCUCACCUUUGCCUGUGGGGUGGGACGGAACGUCAUUUAACAGGCUGGCCACGACCUUUGGCACCGAGGGGUCGCGGUGAGAUCAAUCGGCGCUCAGCCGUUCCCGGUUUUGGCCGCGCUCUCACGGGGACGGUGAAAUAACAGGCGCGGACAAGCAUGUAGACGCUCGUGGGGACGUAUCUUCGGACGCGGGUUCGACUCCCGCCGCCUCCACCA